ensembl:snoRNA
CGCAGCCUUGUCAAAUUCAGUGCGUCCUGCUUGGUGGACGCCACUGGCCCAACCGGCUGCCACAGCGAAGCUGCAGUUCAUGGGCCCCGCCGUGCGCCUCCGUCACUGCCGGGGAUAAGCAUGCACUGCACACACGC